rfam:Oryza meridionalis cultivar OR44 (W2112) chromosome 6, whole genome shotgun sequence.
GUUCCGUGCAACCAUAACUUUUCGCGCAAUCGUCCGUCUUAUUUAAAUUUUUUUAUAAUUAAUAUUUUUUUAUAUGGGAUAAUAAAACAUGAAUAGUACUUUAUUCGUGACUUAUGUUUUUUAAUUUUUUUCAAAUUUUUUUUAAAUAAGACAGACAAUCUUAGACGUAUAAAAUCAUGGCUGCACUUAAA